rnacentral:misc_RNA from 1 species
GUGGCCGAACAUCAAUACUAGAAUUGGCUCUAAUACCAUAGUAAUAAAAUGGACCUAGCCUAAUUACACCCGAAAAGACACCUUAUGGAAGGAGGAUUACCUAAGUCAUAUAUGAAAUAUUUUUUCCUAACACCCAACCAAUGUGGGACUUAACAAGGUAUAUGGUAAUAUUCUCCAAAGCCCUUAAUGAUUUCAAGAAUAAAACAUUAACAACAAUGUUACAUUCCUAGAAAAU